rnacentral:pre_miRNA from 1 species
UCGCAGGGACCGGUCGACCAUAAUGCGUUGUUUGACCUUUUGGCUGGCUGAAGCCAGGAACGGGUGAAACUUCGUAGAUUUGGUCACUCGGCUCUAGAUCGAG